rnacentral:rRNA from 1 species
GGAAUCUGCCUGGUAGUGGGGGACAACGUUUCGAAAGGAACGCUAAUACCGCAUACGUCCUACGGGAGAAAGCAGGGGACCUUCGGGCCUUGCGCUAUCAGAUGAGCCUAGGUCGGAUUAGCUAGUUGGUGGGGUAAUGGCUCACCAGGGCAACAAUCCGAAACUGGUCUGAGAGGAUGAUCAGUCACACUGGAACUGAGACACGGUCCAGACUCCUACGGGAGGCAGCAGUGGGGAAUAUUGGACAAUGGGCGAAAGCCUGAUCCAGCCAUGCCGCGUGUGUGAAGAAGGUCUUCGGAUUGUAAAGCACUUUAAGUUGGGAGGAAGGGCAGUAAGUUAAUACCUUGCUGUUUUGACGUUACCGACAGAAUAAGCACCGGCUAACUCUGUGCCAGCAGCCGCGGUAAUACAGAGGGUGCAAGCGUUAAUCGGAAUUACUGGGCGUAAAGCGCGCGUAGGUGGUUUGUUAAGUUGGAUGUGAAAGCCCCGGGCUCAACCUGGGAACUGCAUCCAAAACUGGCAAGCUAGAGUACGGUAGAGGGUGGUGGAAUUUCCUGUGUAGCGGUGAAA